rnacentral:rRNA from 1 species
CAGUCGCCGCGGUAAUACGAAGGGUGCAAGCGUUAAUCGGAAUUACUGGGCGUAAAGCGUGCGUAGGCGGUUUGUUAAGUCUGCUGUGAAAUCCCCGGGCUCAACCUGGGAAUGGUAGUGGAUACUGGCAAGCUAGAGUGUGUCAGAGGAUGGUGGAAUUCCCGGUGUAGCGGUGAAAUGCGUAGAGAUCGGGAGGAACAUCAGUGGCGAAGGCGGCCAUCUGGGACAACACUGACGCUGAGGCACGAAAGCGUGGGGAGCAAACAGGAUUAGAUACCCGAGUAGUCCCUGUCUCUUAUAC